GCCAGGCACAGUGGCGCGUGCCUAUAGUCCCGACUACUCGGGAGGCUGAGGCUGGAGGAUCUCUUGAGUCCAGGGGUUCUGGGCUGUAGUGCACUAUGCUGAUUCAGUGUCCACACUAAGUUCAGCAUCAAUUUGGUGACCUCCUGGGAGCGGGGGACCUCCAGGUUGCCUAAGGAGGGGUGAACUGGCCCAGGUCGGAAACAGAGCAGGUCAAAAUUCUCAUGCUCAUCAGUAGUGGGAUUGUGCCUGUGAAUAGCCACUGCCCUCCAGCCUGGGCAACAUAGCAAGACCCCAUCUCU
rnacentral:SRP_RNA from 1 species